rnacentral:rRNA from 1 species
AAGCGCUUGUGACCAGACUUGGGCGCGGCGGAUCAUCCGGGGUUCUCCCCGGUGCACUUCGCCGUGUUCAGGCCAGCAUCAGUUCGUCGCGGGGGAUAAAGGCUUCGGGAACGUGGCUCCUCCGGGAGUGUUAUAGCCCG